CCUACGGGUGGCAGCAGUGAGGAAUAUUGGUCAAUGGCCGAGAGGCUGAACCAGCCAAGUAGCGUGCAGGAUGACGGCCCUACGGGUUGUAAACUGCUUUUAUACGGGAAUAACGCGCCUUACGUGUAGGGCUUUGCAUGUACCGUAUGAAUAAGGACCGGCUAAUUCCGUGCCAGCAGCCGCGGUAAUACGGAAGGUCCGGGCGUUAUCCGGAUUUAUUGGGUUUAAAGGGAGCGUAGGCCGCAUGUCAAGCGUGCUGUGAAAUGUCCGGGCUCAACCCGGGCCUUGCAGCGCGAACGGGCGUGCGUGAGUCCGCGGAAAGCAGGCGGAAUUCGUCGUGUAGCGGUGAAAUGCUUAGAUAUGACGAAGAACCCCGAUUGCGAAGGCAGCUUGCUGCAGCGGAACUGACGCUGAUGCUCGAAAGCGCGGGUAUCGAACAGGAUUAGAUACUCGUGUAGUC
rnacentral:rRNA from 1 species